AUGGCCACGCCGGUGUCCGUAUUUGAUCAUCAGCCGCUCCGGGACCGCCGGUGCCUCCGCGCGGCCCGCGGCGAGGACCGCCUAGGCUCGCUCCCCGACGACAUGAUCCACCUUGUGCUUCGCCGCCUCGACACCCGGUCUGCCCUCGCCACCGCCACGCUCUCCAGGCGCUGGGCGCGACUCCCGUGCGAACUCCCCGUGCUCGACUUCAAGGUUCGCGACGUCCUCCCGGAGCGCUACCGGCGGUACCUCCGUCGCCGUGCCCACGUUGCGAACCUCUGCGGAGCCUCCAUCAAGAUACAGAAGCUCGACCUCCUCCUUGGCCGGUACGAGCGCCGCGGCAUGCGCUCGUUGGUCGCCUCGCUCGCCGGCUUCCUGGACGCGGACGAUAACAUUGAGCCGCAUAGGCGUGUGCAAAGGGUGAGCCUGGAGAUCUUCCCCACCCACAACCCUGGAAGCUGGAACCGCCUCAUUGCCACGGCUAUCGGGCGAUGGGGAGUAGAGGACCUCGAGGUCAUCGUCGUCAACCCCGACGCGCGCCACGGCGCCGCGAGCUACAGCUUCCCCCAUCGCUACUUGGACGCCCAUCUCGCCGACGUCGGCGAAGUGAAGCUCAAAAGCCUAAAGCUCAGCAACUUCGCCCCGCACGCCUUCGGGUUGGACGCGAACCUGCCGCCCUCGCGCGCCUUCAGCGCCCUCGCCAUGCUCGUCUUGCAAGACAUGCCGAUGUCGACGCCCCGUCGUGUCUACGAAGGCGUCAUCUUGGCGUGCCCGGCGCUGGAGGUGCUGUAUCUCAUGUCCUGCGGCUGCGACCGGAGGUGUCUCGUCGUCGACGCGCCCGGCUCACGGAUCAAGGAGCUGCUCGUCGAGCUCACCGGCGACACGCUCGGGAUGAUCGACCUGCGCGCCCUGCCGAGGCUCGAGAGGCUGACGUGCACGGGCGCUCCCCUCCAGCUCAAGUUCGGCUCCGUGCAGCGCUUGGCGCGCCUCAACCUCACCUACGACGAGGACGCCAGCACCAUCGCUCCCGGUGACCGGAACAUGUACACCCUCUCCAAGUUCAUGGACCUCCCAAGCCUAGAGGACCUCGUCAUCCGGUUCACUGGGCCCCAAAUGUGGGUCACGCCGAGCCGCAGCGCGCCGCAGUUGGGCAAGCUGAAGAGGCUGCGCGUGGCGGACAUGCCGCCGUCGUGGGACAUCACGUGGACGCGCUACCUGCUGGAGGCCGCGCCUUUCCUCGACACGCUGCACAUUCAUGUUGCCGUUGACGACGAUGACGCGGCUUCAGAGCAUCUCCAACAGGCGCCCAACGCGCCGCGCUGGGGAGCGGUGGCCAGUAAGCUGAUCCGGUGGCCGCCGUCGUCGUCGGAGUUCAAGCACCGGCGUCUCCGCGAGGUGGCAGUGUGCGGCUUCAAGGGGACGUGGAGGCAGGUGCACUUCGUGCGGUUCCUCAGGCGCGCGUGCACGGCCCUCCGGGACGUCGUGCUGCUCAGUCAUGGCCGUGUACGAGAGAAGGGGUUGUGGGACUGGGAGACUCUGGCUGCGAAGCAUGAGUGCCAAUGGAUUGAGGCGGAGAGACGCUCAGUGAUGAGAAAGAUCGAGGGGGCUAAUGCCAUUGCUUGCUGCACAUCUCGAAUAGUUUUGCGGUGA
rnacentral:rRNA from 1 species